UACGAAGGGGGCUAGCGUUGCUCGGAAUCACUGGGCGUAAAGCGCACGUAGGCGGAUCUUUAAGUCAGGGGUGAAAUCCUGGAGCUCAACUCCAGAACUGCCUUUGAUACUGGCGAGCUUGAGUUCGGGAGAGGUGAGUGGAACUGCGAGUGUAGAGGUGAAAUUCGUAGAUAUUCGCAAGAACACCAGUGGCGAAGGCGGCUCACUGGCCCGAUACUGACGCUGAGGUGCGAAAGCGUGGGGAGCAAACAGG
rnacentral:rRNA from 1 species